AGAGCGAACGCUGGCGGCAGGCUUAAUACAUGCAAGUCGAGCGCCUGUAGCAAUACAGGAGCGGCAGACGGGAGAGUAACACGUGGGAACGUGCCCUUUGGUUCGGAACAACACAGGGAAACUUGUGCUAAUACCGGAUAAGCCCUUACGGGGAAAGAUUUAUUGCCAAAGGAUCGGCCCGCGUCUGAUUAGCUAGUUGGUGAGGUAAUGGCUCACCAAGGCGACGAUCAGUAGCUGGUCUGAGAGGAUGAUCAGCCUCAUUGGGACUG
rnacentral:rRNA from 1 species